rnacentral:rRNA from 1 species
CUUGCUGCUUCGCUGACGAGUGGCGGACGGGUGAGUAAUGUCUGGGAAGCUGCCUGAUGGAGGGGGAUAACUACUGGAAACGGUGGCUAAUACCGCAUAACGUCGCAAGACCAAAGAGGGGGACCUUCGGGCCUCUUGCCAUCAGAUGUGCCCAGAUGGGAUUAGCUUGUUGGUGAGGUAACGGCUCACCAAGGCGACGAUCCCUAGCUGGUCUGAGAGGAUGACCAGCCACACUGGAACUGAGACACGGUCCAGACUCCUACGGGAGGCAGCAGUGGGGAAUAUUGCACAAUGGGCGCAAGCCUGAUGCAGCCAUGCCGCGUGUAUGAAGAAGGCCUUCGGGUUGUAAAGUACUUUCAGCGGGGAGGAAGGUGUUGUGGUUAAUAACCGCAGCAAUUGACGUUACCCGCAGAAGAAGCACCGGCUAACUCCGUGCCAGCAGCCGCGGUAAUACGGAGGGUGCAAGCGUUAAUCGGAAUUACUGGGCGUAAAGCGCACGCAGGCGGUCUGUCAAGUCGGAUGUGAAAUCCCCGGGCUCAACCUGGGAACUGCAUUCGAAACUGGCAGGCUUGAGUCUUGUAGAGGGGGGUAGAAUUCCAGGUGUAGCGGUGAAAUGCGUAGAGAUCUGGAGGAAUACCGGUGGCGAAGGCGGCCCCCUGGACAAAGACUGACGCUCAGGUGCGAAAGCGUGGGGAGCAAACAGGAUUAGAUACCCUGGUAGUCCACGCCGUAAACGAUGUCUACUUGGAGGUUGUGCCCUUGAGGCGUGGCUUCCGGAGCUAACGCGUUAAGUAGACCGCCUGGGGAGUACGGCCGCAAGGUUAAAACUCAAAUGAAUUGACGGGGGCCCGCACAAGCGGUGGAGCAUGUGGUUUAAUUCGAUGCAACGCGAAGAACCUUACCUGGUCUUGACAUCCACGGAAGUUUUCAGAGAUGAGAAUGUGCCUUCGGGAACCGUGAGACAGGUGCUGC